rnacentral:tRNA from 1 species
GAAACUAUAGUCAAUAUAUGAUAUAUAAUUUGCACUUAUAAGUAGUUGUAAAACUAGUUUCG